rnacentral:lncRNA from 1 species
AUCUUGAAUAUUAUUAUAGAUAGAGAUAAACUGUAAACAGCAAUAAUGUUCAGCAAAGUUAGAUUUACAAAUAAGUCAACAUGACCGAAAUGGUCAGUUGACCCCUUUAGGAGUUAUUGCCCUUUAUAGUCAAUUUUUAACCAUUUUUCGUAAAUCUUAGUAAUCUUUUACAAAAAUCUUCUCCUCUGAAACUACUGGGCCAAAUUAAUCCAAACUUGGCCACAAUCAUCUUUUGGGUAUCUAGUUUAAAAAUGUGUCGGGUGACCCGGCCAUCCAAACAAGAUGGCUGCCACGGCUAAAAGUAGAACAUAGGGGUAAAAUGUCAAAAACCAAAGC